AGCUUGAAGCUGCCUGCAGAAAUAGGCAAAACAGCAACUGACGAAAGAAUAAAGUUGAAGGAAACUGGAGUUUCCCUGCAAAACAAGCUAUCAAGAAGACCUAUACAAUUCAAAGUGUCUGGCUAAGAGUUGGAGAUCUGGCAGAGAAGCUGUGGCCAGAGGAAGGAGGCUUGGCUGCUGCACCAGACCCAUAGACCACAUCUUUGGAGUGGCUUUGGCCUUGAGGUGCAGCCAGGUAGCUGUAGCUCACCACCUGCCAGAGAAAAGCUUUUUUAACCUCACUGCCUGCCAGGGAAGAGCUUUUUUAAUUUCCAUUUUAAUCUUACAUGAUUAAGGUCAUAUGAUUAAUAGUUAUACCAUCUUCUGUAUAUCUAGCCUGGAGGUUGAGAUGUGAUGGAAUGAUUCCAAAUGUGAAUGUAUACCAUAUUAAAUCCUUGUCUCUACUUUCCUCCAAAUGAGAUCCAUGGGCCUUGUAAAAAAAAGUUGGGAGUCCAAUCUUUUAAAACUAGUAACUCUAAUAUUAGAGAUUUGAGAGACAGAAUGAAGCAUAAUUAAAGCUUUGAUAAGCAUUUAUAAAUCUG